UCGAAUCCUACCGGGGAGGGAGGGAAAAUGGACAAGGUCUCUCAAGGCUGUCGCCGGCAACGUGCACGCCUUCCUCUUUCAUGGACCCCCCCUUUCUAGUUUCCUUAUCCACCUGUGCACCCUUUGUAGGCCCUCGAAAGAGGUUCUAUGUUUAUCUAUCUACUACCACAUGUAUGUCCAGAAUGUAUACAAAUUUUACAACUUUCAGCAACGGAUCUCUUGGCUCUCGCAUCGAUGAAGAACGCAGCGAAUUGCGAUAAGUAAUGUGAAUUGCAGAUUUUCAGUGAAUCAUCGAAUCUUUGAACGCACCUUGCGCUCCUUGGUAUUCCGAGGAGCAUGCCUGUUUGAGUGUCAUCGAAUUCUCAACCAUGUCUUGAAUGAGGCAUGGCUUGGACUUGGGGGUUGCUGGCACACCUCUGUCAGCUCUCCUGAAAUGCAUUAGCGAUGGUCAGCAAGCCUGACGUGCACGGCCUUUUCUACGUGAUAACGAUCGUCGUGGGCUGGAGCGGGUAGGGUGAGCGGUGAAUCGCUUCUAAUCUAAAGUCGGUCGUGAGACUGACUGAGGGCUAACCUAAGUUACUAGUCGGUCGUGAGGCUGACGAACGCGCAGGGUCUAGGUAUGAACUC
rnacentral:rRNA from 1 species